rnacentral:rRNA from 1 species
GACGAACGCUGGCGGCGUGCUUAACACAUGCAAGUCGAACGGAAAGGCCCUGCUUUUGUGGUGUGCUCGAGUGGCGAACGGGUGAGUAACACGUGAGUAACCUGCCCUUGACUUUGGGAUAACUUCAGGAAACUGGGGCUAAUACCGUAUAGGAGCUCCUGCUGCAUGGUGGGGGUUGGAAAGUUUCGGCGGUUGGGGAUGGACUCGCGGCUUAUCAGCUUGUUGGUGGGGUAGUGGCUUACCAAGGCUUUGACGGGUAGCUGGCCUGAGAGGGUGACCGGCCACAUUGGGACUGAGAUACGGCCCAGACUCCUACGGGAGGCAGCAGUGGGGAAUAUUGCACAAUGGGCGGAAGCCUGAGGCAGCAACGCCGCGUGCGGGAUGACGGCCUUCGGGUUGUAAACCGCUUUCGCCUGUGACGAAGCGUGAGUGACGGUAAUGGGUAAAGAAGCACCGGCUAACUACGUG